CCCUGGUAGUCCAUGCCGUAAACGUUGGGCACUAGGUGUGGGGGACAUUCCACGUUUUCCGCGCCGUAGCUAACGCAUUAAGUGCCCCGCCUGGGGAGUACGGCCGCAAGGCUAAAACUCAAAGGAAUUGACGGGGGCCCGCACAAGCGGCGGAGCAUGCGGAUUAAUUCGAUGCAACGCGAAGAACCUUACCAAGGCUUGACAUGAACCGGAAAGACCUGGAAACAGGUCCCCCACUUGUGGUCGGUUUACAGGUGGUGCAUGGUUGUCGUCAGCUCGUGUCGUGAGAUGUUGGGUUAAGUCCCGCAACGAGCGCAACCCUCGUUCUAUGUUGCCAGCACGUGAUGGU
rnacentral:rRNA from 1 species